UACGAAGGGGGCUAGCGUUGCUCGGAAUUACUGGGCGUAAAGCGCACGUAGGCGGUCUUUUAAGUCGGUGGUGAAGUCCUGGAGCUCAACUCCAGAACUGCCUUCGAUACUGGAAGACUUGAGUCCGGGAGAGGUGAGUGGAACUGCGAGUGUAGAGGUGAAAUUCGUAGAUAUUCGCAAGAACACCAGUGGCGAAGGCGGCUCACUGGCCCGGUACUGACGCUGAGGUGCGAAAGCGUGGGGAGCAAACAGG
rnacentral:rRNA from 1 species